rnacentral:rRNA from 1 species
AAAGCUGACCGAAGAUGGUGAUAGUCCAGUAUAGGUAGAAAGCAAUUAAGUUCUUGAGUAGGGCGGAGCACGAGAAAUUCUGUCUGAAAAUGGGGAGACCACUCUCCAAGGCUAAGUACUACUGAGUGACCGAUAGUGAACAAGUACCGUGAGGGAAAGGUGAAAAGCACCCCUAUAAGGGGAGUGAAAAAGAACCUGAAACCGGAUGCCUACAAGCAGUCGGAGGAGCAUUAGGCUCUGACGGCGUACCUUUUGUAUAAUGGGUCAGCGACUUAAUUUAUGUAGCAAGCUUAAGCCGAUAGGUGUAGGCGCAGCGAAAGCGAGUGUUAAUAGCGCGUUAAGUUACAUGGAUUAGACCCGAAACCGAGUGAUCUAGCCAUGAUCAGGUUGAAGGUUGGGUAACACCAACUGGAGGACCGAACCCACUCCCGUUGAAAAGGUAGGGGAUGAAUUGUGGCUAGGGGUGAAAGGCCAAUCAAACUCGGAAAUAGCUGGUUCUCCGCGAAAACUAUUUAGGUAGUGCGGCAAGCGGACACGUUGAGGGGUAGAGCACUGAAAGAGCUAAGGGGGAGCGAUCCUUACUAAACUUUAUCAAACUCCGAAUACUCAACAGUGAUACUUGCCAGACAGACUGUAGGUGCUAAGGUCUACGGUCGAGAGGGAAAGAGCCCAGACCGCCAAUUAAGGUCCCAAAAUUAUGGCUAAGUGGUAAAGGAAGUGAAUUGUCCAAAACAGUCAGGAGGUUGGCUUAGAAGCAGCCAUCCUUUAAAGAAAGCGUAAUAGCUCACUGAUCUAAACAAGACGAUUUGCGCCGAAGAUGUAACGGGGCUAAAGCCAUAUACCGAAGUUGCGGAAUUGCAUUUAGGUGCAAUUGGUAGCGGAGCGUUCUGUAAGCCUGCGAAGGUGUUCCGUAAGGAAUGCUGGAGGUAUCAGAAGUGAGAAUGCUGACAUGAGUAGCGAAAAGAAGUGUGAGAGACACUUCCGCUGAAAGUCCAAGGUUUCCUGCGUAAAGCUAAUCUGCGCAGGGUUAGUCGGCCCCUAAGGCGAGGCAGAGAUGCGUAGUCGAUGGGAAUCAGGUUAAUAUUCCUGAACCAACUAGGAAGUGACGGAUACAGUAAAUUGUGAAUUCUUAUUGGAUUGAGUUUGCAGUGAAUGUGUUCCAGGAAAUAGCCCUAGUAUAGACCGUACCCGAAACCGACACAGGUGGACAGGUAGAGAAUACCAAAGCGCUUGAGAGAACUAUGUUGAAGGAACUAGGCAAAAUACUUGCGUAACUUCGGGAUAAGCAAGCCCCAUUUGAAGGCAACUUUAGGUGGGGGGCACAUACUAGGGGGUAGCGACUGUUUACUAAAAACACAGGGCUCUGCUAAAUUGAAAGAUGAAGUAUAGGGUCUGACGCCUGCCCGGUGCUGGAAGGUUAAGGAGAGAUGUGCAAGCAUUGAACUGAAGCCCCAGUAAACGGCGGCCGUAACUAUAACGGUCCUAAGGUAGCGAAAUUCCUUGUCGGGUAAGUUCCGACCUGCACGAAUGGCGUAACGACUUCCCCACUGUCUCCAACAUAGACUCAGCGAAAUUGAAUUCUGAGUUAAGAUGCUCAGUACCCGCGGUUAGACGGAGAGACCCCGUGAACCUUUACUAUAGCUUUGCAGUGGUAUUAGGUGACAAAUGUGUAGGAUAGGUGGGAUGCUAUGAAGUUAUGACGCUAGUUGUAAUGGAGCAGACGUUGAAAUACCACCCUUUUGUUAUUUGAUGUCUAACCUGCUUCCGUUAUCCGGAAGAGGGACCCUGCAUGGUGGGUAGUUUGACUGGGGCGGUCGCCUCCCAAAGAGUAACGGAGGCGCGCAAAGGUUGGCUCAGAUUGGUCGGAAAUCAAUCGUUGAGUGCAAUGGCAUAAGCCAGCCUGACUGCGAGAGCGACAGUUCGAGCAGAGACGAAAGUCGGUCAUAGUGAUCCGGUGGUCCCGAGUGGAAGGGCCAUCGCUCAACGGAUAAAAGGUACUCCGGGGA